GCUUGUCUCAAAGAUUAAGCCAUGCAUGUCUAAGUGUAAAUAAGUCUAUACUGUGAAACUGCGAAUGGCUCAUUAUAUCAGUUAUAGUUUAUUUGAUGGUUCUUGCUACUUGGAUAACCGUAGUAAUUCUAGAGCUAAUACAUGCAUCAAACCCCGACUCACGAAGGGGUGUAUUUAUUAGAUGGAAACCAAUGCGGGGCAACCCGGUAUAUGGUGAUUCAUAAUAACUUUCGGAUCGAUCUUCGGAUCGAUGCAUCAUUCAAGUUUCUGCCCUAUCAGCUUUGGAUGGUAGGGUAUUGGCCUACCAUGGCUUUAACGGGUAACGGAGAAUUAGGGUUCGAUUCCGGAGAGGGAGCCUGAGAGAUGGCUACCACAUCCAAGGAAGGCAGCAGG
rnacentral:rRNA from 1 species